rnacentral:rRNA from 1 species
UACGUAGGGGGCAAGCGUUGUCCGGAUUUAUUGGGCGUAAAGGGCGUGUAGGCGGCCAGACAGGUCCGUUGUGAAAACUCGAGGCUCAACCUCGAGACGCCGAUGGAAACCGUCUGGCUAGAGUCCGGAAGAGGAGAGUGGAAUUCCCGGUGUAGCGGUGAAAUGCGCAGAUAUCGGGAAGAACACCCGUGGCUAAGGCGGCUCUCUAGUACGGUACUGACGCUGAGACGCGAAAGCGUGGGGAGCGAACAGG